rnacentral:lncRNA from 1 species
GAGGAAGUCAAAGGAGCGGCAAGGACUGGACGGUCUCAACAAUCUGAGCUACUCUGCUAACGUCACGUACGACGCCUUGUAUAAAAACAUAACUGUCAACUUGACACCCGAGCUGGCUCAGGUGACUGAGUACUGAGACUCGAGGAGAAACCACACCCACCUACCCACCCCUCGGACAGGCUGUGAUGCGCCAUCGUGGGGUCAACACAGGAGGACAGAAAGAGAGUGGAGCACAGGACCACAGGGCUCCAGAAAACUGUCACAGAGCACAUGCACAAAGGCCUUCGCUGCAGGGCCCAACAGGGACAGGAGACUUGAGGACACUGUCAUCAGCACUGGCUUCUAUUCCACAAGACAGAUGUCUGCCCUGCUGCUCUCUUCCGUCCACCCAGGUCCUGUCUCAGCUGCAACCUCCAGAAUUGCAGGGCCAGGCUAGGCGCCCCUAGGAUAGACGGAUGGCCAAGCCCAGAGGCUUCCAUGGUCAGCCAGCCCUGGCUUGAAGCAGACCGGCUAUGCCGGUCUCUGCAUCUCUGGAGUUCUCUUUGGCUUUCAUUUGGUUUAGUUUAGGGUUUUUUUUUUUUUCUUUUCUUUUUAAAGAAAUUUUUCUGCUUUAGGUGGGGACUGAGGGCGGAGGGGAGGAACUUGGGGUGAUAGACACAUACCAGUCACUUCUUGAAGAAGUGCAGUUGUAAAUAAGCCAUGUAAGAUGCCUUUUUAAAGUUUAAUUUUAUAGCUGGCUCCACUUCAAAGUGAGAGCUUCACAUAUUAAGAUCACCUUGGGUGGCAAACACAACUUGGUUCCCACACAGUUGAGUGCCAUCUCCCAAGUCCCAGUCAUCUAGGAAGGAAAUGAAUGCAGUCCGGUCCUUACAGCCCCUCUUGUCUGCCCUGCCCCUCCUUUCCUGCCUCUCCCCUCCCUUCCUUCCUCCUUCCCCCUCUAUAGGGUCUUCCUCCUAGAGACUCAGCAGCUAAGCUGGAAAUACUGUUCGGGGCACAGUGCUGUCCCCUCUUACAGACCCCGAGCCAGCCGGGAUGUGUAGGGGGAGGGGAGGCAGAGGCACAGGGCACAGGCUUAUCACUCCAGUGUGGCUGGCAGGGCCUGGAGAACAGGAGAUCUGAGGCCAGUGAGCUAUGUCACAAGUUCCAAGUCAGCCUGUGCUGUGUAUGCAGCCCACUCCAGCUCCACAUCUCACAUGCAGAGUGGCUGUUGGGUGACUGUUCCCUCUUUUCUUUGGAACUUGGCCACAGUUUCUCUGGGCCCUGCUUGCAUGACCAGCUGGCUUCAGUGAUUUCUCCGUUUCCCUUUUUAGUUUCUAGGAAGCUGCUGUGCUUGUGCUAAGAAGCCAUUGGUUGGGGAGGGCACAGCCAGGGAGCAGGUGGCACUGGGGUGCAUGGCGGCCAGGGUCCAGGUGAGCUCUCACCAGAUCCUUGACAGGCGGCCCAGCAGUCCCCCUGCUUCCUGACAUCAGCUCCUAAAGGGCACCUCCUUCCUGAACCAGAGCUCCUUCCUGUGUCUGCCUCCCUGCAGCCUCUGUCCCUGAAGCAGGGAUCUGUGUGUGGCGAGGAGCGUUCUCCUCUGGCCUCUGCUCUUCGCCUUUUUGCCUUCAGCACCCUUGAUGUUCAUGGUUUACAUGGGUGGGGGUGGGGUGUAGAUACACGGGGAUGGGGUUUACAUCACACAGUUGGUUCUGAGGACAGAUGAUCCCCACAGACUGUGGGAGUGAUUGGCCAGGCCUUUUUUUUUGUUCUUUUUGUAGAGUAGAGUGGUAUCUAGGGAACAGAUGGCGCUGCAGAGCGCUUCCCGCUCGUAUGAGAGAGCAGGUGCCUGCCCUUGAGAGCGCUGGUGAACCACGUCAUCUGUUUGCACUGGGCAAGGAGCUGCACGAGGCGCUGCGUUGACUUGCCUUUGUCUUACGGUACACACAGCAAUAAAGAUUGGGUUCCGCCUGCCCGGCUCAACCCUCUGCCCCCUGUGUUAGUUUUACAGUGCGGGGAAGGAAACCCAUGGCUGAUGUGCUAGGCAAGAGCUCUGCCACUGAGUCACGGGUCCAGCCCCCUCUCCCCUCAUCCUUCUGUUUCCACUCUGAAGGUCAGGGAUGCUGUCGCUGUGGUAGAGCCUUGGUGUCCUUGGAGGGACAGUGGUGUGUGUAGCAUGUGUCCUGGCUGAAGCCCUGCAUCCUCACAAUAGCCACAGGGCACCUUUUUAAGCCAAAGGCUGAUACUUGAUUUAAGAAGGAAAAUGCAGAUUUGGGGACAAAGAAAGGUCUUUUUACUGCUCAAGUCGGGUCACUUAUGUUCCCUUGCAAUCAUGUCCAAGUUUGUUAUUAGUGUGGACUCUUGUGGGCACUGUCAGUCAUUGUCCGCCCAGUCACAUACCGAGUGGGAAAUGUCACAGUCAGAGCCACACCACUGGACCACACAUUAGGUCAUUGCUUAAAGAAAAUGACAUUGAGAAUCAAGUGUGACCUUGGUGUACUUUGGCAGCUGAAAUUACUCCAUGCUACAGACGAGUGACCCUUAAGCCGACCUGCCCUUGACUGACUGCCCUGUGUGUGCAAGGUCUCUCUCCGCACAGGCUUUCUUUGGGGAGGGGGGAUUUGCAAAACUUUAAUUUUGCUAAAAUGGGGACUCCUGUCAUCGAGUUCCUUCCUCAGAGCGGCAGAGCACACACUGACUGUGCCUACCAUCGACGAGGCACUGACGCCACUGGCUUAGCCACCAUUACUGUCUUUGUUCUGAGCUUGCUCUUUGUUUUAAAGGUGCCAGGGGGACAUUUUUGCACUGAAGCCUAAAGAUGUUUUAAAAACACUUUUCACAGAAAUAGUCCUUGUCAUUACAUUGUUCACUCAUGUGUUUGUACAUUUUUGUAUGUUAAUUUAUGAAUGAUUUUUUCAGUAAAAAAUACAUAUUCAAUAACCAAA